UACGAAGGGGGCUAGCGUUGCUCGGAAUGACUGGGCGUAAAGGGCGCGUAGGCGGAUGGCUUUGUCGGGCGUGAAAUUCCAGGGCUUAACCUUGGGGCUGCGUUCGAGACGGGUUGUCUUGAGUGGGGAAGAGGGUCGUGGAAUUCCCAGUGUAGAGGUGAAAUUCGUAGAUAUUGGGAAGAACACCGGUGGCGAAGGCGGCGACCUGGUCCUUUACUGACGCUGAGGCGCAAAAGCGUGGGGAGCAAACAGG
rnacentral:rRNA from 1 species